AGGAGUAAGCCCAUUACACUAGAGUAUUAGGGUUUCAAAACAUAGCCGUCAAGUAAACUACCACUUUCUCUGAUUUCACUUCUCUCUAUCUCGUGCUCUCUCUCUUCAUUAUCUCUAUCCAUUCUCAAUCUCCUUCCUUCGUUUCUACUAAGAAAUUCAAGUGGUUUUCUUCAUUUUUGCGCAAUUGUGUUAGAGAUUCGAAACAAAGAGACGAAUUUCUUAUCUUUUUCUCUGAGACCUGAUGGAUUUUGAGGACUGGAUUAAUGUUGAUUGAGAUAAUGAAGAUAGUAAAAAUGACGGUUUUGUUGAUGGAGCUCGAUAAUUUCAAGGCAAAUUGAAGAGAUCCACUUCUUCUUCGCCCUCUCACUACCCCCUUUCCUCGUAACCUUAUCAUGCACAAAUUAUAGUUUCUUUGUACUCCCAUCAAAGAAAAUGGGUAUUUCUCGUAAUUCUUUGUUUAAGAGGCGUGCCAGUGGACUAUGAUGUCAAGAAGAGCUGAAGAAGGUUUGGAGGUAAAAGCGUAACUGACUGUUGAUGCAUUACCAUUUGAAGGAGUCGGUGAGAGUGGUUGGAUUUUGUAGGAAAGGCCAACUAGCAUUUGAAUUUGUCUUUGUGCAUGCUAUAUUAUCAACAAAGCAUGCACGAACACUUUUUAGUGGUGAUAUGGAGAAAGUAUUGAAGCUCUCUUCUAGUAGGCCUUGGCCAGAGACUUCUAGUUGAUUCAAUUUAGUUUUAUAUAAGAUGCAAGAGAAGUAAAGAGAUGGAAGAGGCUUCACAAUCAGAGAAAGUUGAUGUAAUGCUCAAUGGAGAUUAUCAACUUUGGAGUACUCUUAUAAAGACGUUGAAAAGGCCUCGUAGAAUUUCAAUUGAGAUUUUUUUUUUUUUUUUUUAUAAGGCGACAAUGAAUGAAAGCACUGAAAAUGUACACUAUACUUUGUAUAAAUUAUAAUUUUAUCAUAAAGUUUGUGCUAAAUAUAAAAUAUAAUUUUUUUU